rnacentral:lncRNA from 1 species
CCCCCCCCCCCCAAAGACACAUCUCUCACACCCCAUUCCCCUCCGCCUCUCUCCGCCAUAGACCGCCUAUCGGAAAUCAUCUCCGCCGGCCGGAGUUAACCAAUCGACCCCAAACCGGCACCAAUAGAUUCCUCUACACCAUCCCACCAAGAUCAAAUACAAUUUUCAUCUUAUCACCAUCUUCAUCCAAACCGUAACCCACUUGGCCCCUUCCCACUUUUCUCGAUCAUUGAUGCUUGAUAUACCUCAAUACUUAUAUCAUUAGAUAGGUCUCAAUGACCAAGACCUCUAUGGAGUCAUUCCUUUUGGCAUCUCGUCUGGAGAUCAUUAGGUAAUUUCUUCUCCGUAUGCUCCUUAUUACUGAGAUGUUAGUUUAGGUGUAUAAGUUUCAUGAUUAUGUCUCUUAGUUUAGGUUUAAUUGCGAUAUUUAUUUGAAUAUUAAUUAUAUGAUUGUGCCAUUCAAUUUUGUUAAGUGAUACAUAUAAUUAGUUAAUUGGCUUUAAUCUAAUCAAUUCUGCCAUAUUGAACAUUAAUUAAUGAUUUGAUUUGGUAAGAAUCACGGAAUUGGGCCCCAAAAUUCAUGAGGUUUUGAUUGAAAGGCCCAGGCCUGCUUGGUUCAUUUCAUAUAAAAUGACAGUAAACAAAAAGGAAAAAAAAAGUAAAAGAAGCAGUUAAAAGGAAGGAUUGCUGGAAGGGGUAAACAAAGAAGUAGUAAAUAACAAAAGCCUGGGGGGGGGGGGGGGCUAAGGGAAAUAAAAUUUAAAGAAUAUUUUAGUUAACUAAUUAGGAAGCUCUCAGAAAUAAGGGAUAGGGGUGUGUUAGUAAAGGAACACUUCCAAUAGGUCAAGUAUUGAGGACUGAGGGGUGAUAAACAGAAAAUAGAGGGAUUAAAAAGAAAAAGAAAUAACUGAAAGCUGUUGAAAUUGGUUAUAAAAGGGAAUCUUCCUUCACACUUUGGUCACCUAUUCACUCUCACGUUUAGAAGCAGUCUGAAACUUGGGAUUCAGAUUUCAGACCUGAAGAACAAAAAACUCCAGAAAAUCAAAGCAAAAAAAUAAGGCUUCAAAAAGUGAUUCUAAGUUCUGUUGAUUUAGUUCAAUAUUUUCUAGGGUUUCAAGUUGAUAAUUAGAUUGGAAAUUGAGGAUGUUUGCUGGUUCUGUUGCUGUUUGCUGUUCAAAUUAUAGCUGAAUUUCUUCAUUUUUCUUCUUCAGGCCUUUAUUUGGUCAUUAAUUGUUGUUUCUGCUGCCGAAUAUGUCAAAACCCCAUUUGUAAUUCCCUUUGACUGUGCAAAUUAAGAUUUGGAUUGUUUGAUUCCAUGACUAUGUUUAAUUUCCGAAACUUUUUGUGCUUGUCUGCUAGAUCUGUUAUUUGUUCCUCUGUUAGCAUCAAUUCAUGUUUGUUUAGUGGUAAUUGGAUUGAAAUUGCUCACAUACUUGUUAGUUGUCGCUGAUAGUCCACUCAUCUUAAAGAAACAUGUAUUAGUCAUCAUAUUAGUACAUUAAAACAUACUGUUAGUCAAGCAUUUAUGAGUUCAUAAAUUUUUGAAUUGAAUUUGUUUACUGUUGACGUCUUUAACUCAUGAGGAUGAAGGUUGAAUUACGGAUUUCACGUUGAAAUCCAAAGUUUGUGGAGAAAUGAGUUAAUUAUGCGAAGCCUAUGUGUUGUAAUAUUGUUUGAUUCCAGAAAAUAGAAGGUGCUUGGUUCAAUAGAAGUGGCUGUUAGUAUGAGCUAGAAUUUCAAUUAUGUUUUCUUUAUGAUUUUUUAUCAGUGCUGUGAUAUUUAAACUUGGAUAAUCAUGUAUUAAUAUUUUUGUAAUUAACUUCGUGACUUCUGAUGUGUGCAAAUCCAACUGAAAGUCCAUGUUUAGUGUUC